rnacentral:tRNA from 1 species
GUCCCCAUCGUCUAUCGGUCAGGACACCAGCCUUUCAAGCUGGUGAGGCGGGUUCGAUUCCCGCUGGGGACGCCA